UUAAAAUUGAGGUAAUUGAAAUCAUGGCUUUUUAGGAUCAUGGGAAAAAUUGCCUGAAAUGUGUCAGGCACUGUAAUGAAGUCUCAGAAGCUGCUUUAACUAAAGGGAUUAGGAGGAGCAUUGCUGUGAGAACAAUGGACUAAGUGAUCUUUCCAGGGACAGGGAGUGAUUUAACACCACCACAGUGGGUUUGUGAUGGUGGGAUUGUUCCUGCCUGCCUGGGAGCUGGAGAGGAGGCAAAACAUCAGCAGCCUGGUAGCAGGGGCUGGGACUGGUGUGCUUAUGGCUCUGUAAGAGAAUGCUUGUUUUGUGCCCGGAGAGGCGUAAAUGUGAUCAUCAUCCUUCCACACAGAGCAAAGCAGGAGACACUUGAUGUGAAGAAGAGAUUCCCACUGAGUAAGGGAGCAAUGCAAGGAAGGUCACAUACCCCACAUGUGGACUGGAGGAGUGGCACAAGGGACCAGGUGGGAAGCCAGGAGGUGUAAGGUGGUGGUGGAAUUAUUUUCAUAAAGGUGGCAUGGUGUAGCCCACUGGUUAGGUCCCAGAGCUGAGCUGGUUGGAGUAAGCCCUGCAGUACACUCUUCUCUCACCCGAUGGUGAUGGCAGGCAGGACUUCACAAUCCUGCCACCAACCACCCUGGGUGGCUUCCCAUUCGUAUCUUGAAGCAGAAAUGGGUUGUGUUACAGAUGUCUCUGCUGUAACUUGCAACUAAUGUGACUGAUUAAUGGCCCAGAUAUGCUUAUUCAGUGAAGUAUCAGAAUAAAAUAACUUGGAGAUGUGAAAUGGCAAUUAUCCAGACAUAAAGUAUUUAGAACUGUAGAAUAGCUACGGAUUUAUAGCUUUACAGUGUUAUCACUGUGAAGUACACAACUGUGGAGUUUAUCUUGAGGAUUACGGUACCAAAAGCAGAUCAGUCUUAGAAAAGGAACCAGGCCAGGUGGCAAUCCCCAUGUUCCUGGCACCUUUCUCUCUCAGGUGGCUGUUCUGCACCACUUGUACAGGCUGAAGGAGCAGGUCAGGGUCAGCCCUGCAGCCUAGCUGGCAGCUGUGACCGCAGCUUGGGAAAACUCGCAGCUGGCUCUUCUGCACGGCUUUUAUAAGUGUCAGAAAAGUGGCACGAGUGUGCCCUGGCCAUUGGAAUUCCUAAAUUUGAUAGCUUGUAUAUUGAGGUUUA